UCGCAAAAAAAAAAAAAAAGGGAGAAAUCCCACUGAAGUCCCACAUGCACAACCAAGGUGCCGGGCGAGGUGUUGGAGUCCCAGCAUCGGGAAGUGGCCGACUCGCGGGCUGGUAAGAAGAAUUUACCAAUGACAGUAUGGGUUUGGAAGAGGAAAGUUUUAUUAGGAAGAAAGAAUGCUGCAGAGGAGGGCAGUGGGUGCCUCUGCCGGAGGACUCGGCACCACUGGGGAUUUUCCUUAGGAGCAUUUCUGGACCUCACGGCGGGAGCUGAAGGGUGAUUCGCACGAUAAAUGCUACAUUUGUAGACAUUCUGGUGCCUUAGUGACGGCAGGGGGUGCACACUGAGUUUCAUCAGCCAUGCAUUCCAGAGAUGUAUAGAAAUUCUAGUUACUUAUAAACGUUAGGUUGAAAGGAGGCCUGGAACCAGGUGCCAACUUUAGAUGAUGGAGAAGUUUAAUUACUUCUAAAUUCCUCAAAUACGGAGCUUUGCCUCUGGAUGGCCUGCCUGAUGGUCACCAGGUGGUCUUUGCUGGCCUCAGCCAGCUCACAGGUUGUGAGCUGGCCUCUCUGCCAGCAGUGCUCGCUCCUGUCUUUGCUCAGCUCCCCGUCCCUCCCCAGGGAGUCAUCCCAAUUGUCCAAUGUCCUCAGCUGCCAUCAGGCCACUUGCCCCACCUGUCACAUCAUCUGUUGACUGCCUGUCCUCCCUGGGGCAGGACCCCCUCUAUGCAGCUCUGUGUGCCCGGCAUGGCAUGUGUGAGAGCAUAGAAGGUCUGGUCACAGAGUUGGCUGACUGGUCCUGGAGGGUGGGUGGACCGCCCUCGGAAAGCCAGAGAGGUGUGUGUGCUUUGUUCCAGGACGCAAGGUGUUGUUCGCUUGUCCUCUGUCAACGUAACCUGGAGAAGCUGUUGCAACCACCAAGGGAGGGUGUUUCCUCAGGCCAAGAGCUUAUUGGGAGCUUAGGAGCUACUGACGACAGCAAGCUGCAGGGCAGUUCCCCAGACGAAGUCACCAGUGGAACCAGCCGGCCUGCUACCUGACACACAAGGUCAAGAACUGAGUCUCUUUCAAAAAUUUAACUUGUUUUGUUGUAAUUUAUAUAAAAUAAUGCAA
rnacentral:lncRNA from 1 species